UGAAGGGUGUUUUUGGCCUACUCUUCCAAGUCUUGGCCGCACGUCUCGGAAAAAAGAGGUUAAAAGCAACACGAGUCCUGCUGCUGCCAGGAGACGCGUUCCUGAGUCAGCAACCACCGGAGCGAUUGCCUCCGAUAGCAGUGAAGUGGCAACAUCCGCCAACCACCAGUCCACUCACCCCCCAGCCACCACAGGGGUAGGGCGCCGCCCUACCCAGGAGGAACCAGACGAGAAGGCAGCAGCAGCAGCAGCAGCCACGCGAGAAAGAAGAGGCUUAUCGCAGCCGUGGCUCAAAGGUGCGAUGGACUUUCAACAGGACCUCCAUCUCUUCUCUGUCGACCUGGUCAAGACCUAUGAUGCCAUCAAGGGGCAAGGGCUUUUGGUUAUUCUUGAUGCUAUUUGGGGUCCUUGACCCCUCUGCUCACGAUUCAUUAAG